rnacentral:misc_RNA from 1 species
UUUUUUUUUUUUUUUUCCCUUUUUCCUCUGUGCCUAAGUAACACAGCAGGUGUGUGAGUGUGUCUUAGUCUCACUACUGCUGCCAUCAGCGGCACCAUUCGCCGGCUACCCUACACCCAAAGUCGUGUUGCCGGAUUCUUCUCCAUGCGCUGCCCCGCACCGCCACAAGCAUCUGCUCUACUGUUCACGCAUCGGCACAUGAGACUUCUCCAGUAAACCCUUCUCACCAGAACCUGUGCCCUGCAUCUGGAUCUUUUAUGUUGAUCCUCUUUUACCACAGUACAGUAUCUCAACCUCUUUUUAUCUCAACAGACUUUAUCCUUUUAUCACAAUAGAGUAUCUCAGCUAGCUACUAUCUUUUAAAAAAAAAAAAUGAUGAUGAGUGAUAAGGCAAUCACCCUCAUUAGAGCAGAUUGUGAACAAUAUUUACAAUACCAAUACACCAAACAGUCGUUACCCUCUUCUCUUACAUGUGCCUCCCAGUCUGGUAAUUUUUUUUCUUGUGCGACUCAAUCCUCUUUUGAACCAUGGAUUCUUGAUUCCGGCGCUUCUGACCACAUUUCAGGUAAUAAAAAUAUUUUCUCUACUCUUAUCUCUUCUUCUACCAUCUCUACUGUCACUUUAGCCAAUGGAUCAAAAACUGUAAUUAAUGGAAUAAGGGAAACAAAACCUCUUCCGUCUAUUCUUUUAACCUCAGUAUUAUUUGUUCCGGAGUGUCCAUAUAAUCUUAUCUCAGUAAGUAAGUUAACCAAACAACUUAAUUGCUCUAUCACAUUCUUAACUAACUCUAUUCUUGUGCAGGACCGACGUACGAAGAAGGUGAUUGGCACAAGACAUGAGUCACAAGGAUUGUGUCAUCUCUCCAGACCAGAAUCCCCAGUUGCCUUUACUUCUAAUGCUUGUCCUGAUCUUCUCCAUAGCUGUUGGGCCAUUUUAGCAUCACUAAACUCCGAAAACUGGUUCCCUCUCUUUCCUGCUUAUCUUCUUUAAUUUGUGAGUCAUGUCAACUUGAAAAGCAACCCCGUUCUUCUUUUCCUAAAAGACUUAACAAUCAAGCUGCAUCCAUGUUUGAUAUUGUUCAUUGAGACAUUUAGGGUCUGAGUCGUAUUAGUUCAACUCUGGGUUUUCAUUACUUUGUUGCCUUUAUUGAUCAUUAUUCUCAUUGCACCAGUUAUUUUUGAUAAAAAAUCAUUAUGAGUUGUUCUCCAUCUUUUAAAAUUUUUGCGCUAAGAUACACAAUCAAUUUGGUAUUUCCAUUAAAGUGUUACGUAGUGACAAUGCACAAGAAUAUUUUUCUUUCCUUUCAAACCUUCAUGUCAUCUCAAGGGAUUAUUGAUCGAUCUUCGUGUGCUCAUACUCCUCAACAAAAUGGAGUAACAGAGCAUAAGAAUAGGCAUCUUAUUGAAACCGCAAGCACCUUACUCAAACACCAUCAUGUUCCACUUCGUAUUUGGGGGAUGUUGUUCUUACUGUUUGUUACUUGAUUAAUCAUAUGCCUUUUUCUGUAUUACUAUUGGAAUCCUACUAGAUUGUAAAC